rnacentral:lncRNA from 1 species
GGCCUUCAGAAUGGGAACAGAAGUCCCACUCGGAUAGAACAAGAACAACAGAAUCAAAGGAAAUCACAGCUCAGAGAGGACUGCACGGGCCUUGAAACUUACCCCUUGGCCCUUGGGCACUGAUGGGUAAUGCCAUCUGUGCCUGGCAUGAUGAGCUUUGGAUGGGCGUCAGGAGAGGGGGUUCUGGCUCCCAUGCGAGUGCAGACAGGAUUAGAAGGCCACCUCUUGGCUCUGAGGAUGAGAUCUCCAAUCUCAUAACCAGAAGAGAGACCUGGAAUUUCCAUGGAGCUAGAGGACACUCAGAAUAAAGGUCACCAAUAUUCAGAUGGCCAGGAUUGCCUUGGUGCACUACGGGCCAGCAGAGGAGUUUCUUCAUGAACACGAGAAAUGUAAGUAACUCGUUUUGGGCUGUUGACAAAGUAAAACCAUUAGCCUUGUGAGUCAGUCCCUAGGCAACUCCACUAUUUUACACUGAAACUUUAGUGUGUGUGUGUGUGUGUGUGUGUGUAUGUGUGUGUAUGUGUGUGUAUGACAGAGAGAGGGAGAGAAUGAAGUUCUAGAACCAAGAUGAGAUCAGUUAUUUAAAAAAAAAAAAAUCAAAGAAAUUACUUUUGGGGGGGGUAAAGUUUAUAGUGUGUAGUUUUUGACCACCCCAGACACCUACCU